rnacentral:rRNA from 1 species
UACACGACCGUACCGCAAACCGACACUGGUGCGCGAGAUGAGUAUUCUAAGGCGCUUGAGAGAACUCAGGAGAAGGAACUCGGCAAAUUGACACCGUAACUUCGGAAGAAGGUGUGCCUUUAGUAGGUGAAGGGAUUUACUCCUGGAGCCCAAUGAGGUUGCAAAAAAUCGGUGGCUGCGACUGUUUAUUAAAAACACAGCACUCUGCAAACACGAAAGUGGACGUAUAGGGUGUGACGCCUGCCCGGUGCUGGAAGAUUAAAUGAUGGGGUGCAAGCUCUUGAUUGAAGUCCCAGUAAACGGCGGCCGUAACAAUAACGGUCCUAAGGUAGCGAAAUUCCUUGUCGGGUAAGUUCCGACCUGCACGAAUGGCGUAACGAUGGCCACACUGUCUCCUCCUGAGACUCAGCGAAGUUGAAAUGUUUGUGAUGAUGCAAUCUCCCCGCGGAAAGACGGAAAGACCCCAUGAACCUUUACUGUAGCUUUGUAUUGGACUUUGAACAGAUCUGUGUAGGAUAGGUGGGAGGCUUUGAAGCAGGGUCGCUAGAUCUUGUGGAGCCAACGUUGAAAUACCACCCUGGUGUGUUUGAGGUUCUAACCUAGGCCCGUAAUCCGGGUUGGGGACAGUGCAUGGUAGGCAGUUUGACUGGGGCGGUCUCCUCCCAAAGUGUAACGGAGGAGUUCGAAGGUACGCUAGUUACGGUCGGACAUCGUGACGAUAGUGCAAUGGCAUAAGCGUGCUUAACUGCGAGACUGACAAGUCGAGCAGAUGCGAAAGCAGGACAUAGUGAUCCGGUGGUUCUGUAUGGAAGGGCCAUCGCUCAACGGAUAAAAGGUACUCUGGGGAUAACAGGCUGAUACCGCCCAAGAGUUCAUAUCGACGGCGGUGUUUGGCACCUCGAUGUCGGCUCAUCUCAUCCUGGGGCUGUAGCCGGUCCCAAGGGUAUGGCUGUUCGCCAUUUAAAGAGGUACGUGAGCUGGGUUUAAAACGUCGUGAGACAGUUUGGUCCCUAUCUUCCGUGGGCGCUGCAGAUUUGAGGAAGCCUGCUCCUAGUACGAGAGGACCGGAGUGGACGCACCUCUGGUGUAUCGGUUGUCACGCCAGUGGCAUUGCCGAGUAGCUAUGUGCGGAAGAGAUAACCGCUGAAAGCAUCUAAGCGGGAAACUCGUUUCAAGAUGAGAUCUGCCGGGGCCUUGAGCCCCCUGAAGAGUCGUUCAAGACCAGGACGUUGAUAGGUCGGGUGUGGAAGCGCAGUAAUGCGUUAAGCUAACCGAUACUAAUUGCUCGUGCGGCUUGACCCC